rnacentral:rRNA from 1 species
UGCAGUCGAGGGGUAUAUGUCUUCGGAUAUAGAGACCGGCGCACGGGUGCGUAACGCGUAUGCAAUCUGCCUUUCACAGAGGGAUAGCCCAGAGAAAUUUGGAUUAAUACCUCAUAGUAUAAUCAAGCCGCAUGGUUUAAUUAUUAAAGUCACAACGGUGAAAGAUGAGCAUGCGUCCCAUUAGCUAGUUGGUAAGGUAACGGCUUACCAAGGCAACGAUGGGUAGGGGUCCUGAGAGGGAGAUCCCCCACACUGGUACUGAGACACGGACCAGACUCCUACGGGAGGCAGCAGUGAGGAAUAUUGGACAAUGGGCGCAAGCCUGAUCCAGCCAUGCCGCGUGCAGGAUGACGGUCCUAUGGAUUGUAAACUGCUUUUGUACGAGAAGAAACAUCCCGACGUGUCGGGACUUGACGGUAUCGUAAGAAUAAGGAUCGGCUAACUCCGUGCCAGCAGCCGCGGUAAUACGGAGGAUCCAAGCGUUAUCCGGAAUCAUUGGGUUUAAAGGGUCCGUAGGCGGUUUAGUAAGUCAGUGGUGAAAGCCCAUCGCUCAACGGUGGAACGGCCAUUGAUACUGCUGAACUUGAAUUAUUAGGAAGUAACUAGAAUAUGUAGUGUAGCGGUGAAAUGCUUAGAUAUUACAUGGAAUACCAAUUGCGAAGGCAGGUUACUACUAAUGGAUUGACGCUGAUGGACGAAAGCGUGGGGAGCGAACAGGAUUAGAUACCCUGGUAGUCCACGCCGUAAACGAUGGAUACUAGCUGUUGGGGGCAACUUCAGUGGCUAAGCGAAAGUGAUAAGUAU